rnacentral:tRNA from 1 species
GGGUCAGUAGUCCGGUAAUGCAGCCGGGGCAGUCUGUAAAACUGAUGGCAAUGUCCCUUGUAGGUUCAAGUCCUACCUGACCCACCA